AUUGAACGCUGGCGGCAUGCUUUACACAUGCAAGUCGAACGGUAACAGGCCUUCGGGUGCUGACGAGUGGCGAACGGGUGAGUAAUGCAUCGGAACGUGCCCAAUCGUGGGGGAUAACGUAGCGAAAGUUACGCUAAUACCGCAUAAGCCCUGAGGGGGAAAGUGGGGGACCGCAAGGCCUCACGCGAAUGGAGCGGCCGAUGUCAGAUUAGCUAGUUGGUGGGGGUAAAGGCCCACCAAGGCGACGAUCUGUAGCGGGUCUGAGAGGAUGAUCCGCCACACUGGGACUGAGACACGGCCCAGACUCCUACGGGAGGCAGCAGUGGGGAAUUUUGGACAAUGGGCGCAAGCCUGAUCCAGCCAUGCCGCGUGAGUGAAGAAGGCCUCGGUUGUAAG
rnacentral:rRNA from 1 species